rnacentral:rRNA from 1 species
UACGAGGGGGGCUAGCGUUGUUCGGAAUCACUGGGCGUAAAGCGCGCGUAGGCGGCCAUACAAGUCAGGGGUGAAAUCCCGGGGCUCAACCCCGGAAUUGCCUUUGAAACUGCAUGGCUAGAGUUCGGUAGAGGGUGGUGGAAUUCCUAGUGUAGAGGUGAAAUUCGUAGAUAUUAGGAGGAACACCAGUGGCGAAGGCGGCCACCUGGGCCGAUACUGACGCUGAAGCGCGAAAGCGUGGGGAGCAAACAGG